GAAGACCCAUCGGAAGGAGCACCUGCAGACCCGAGUUGAUUCCUCAGCUGCCACUUCCUCCAGGACUAUCCAUUCUGCCAGUAUUUCUUCAUCCUGUGAUAUAAUUUUAGAAGGCAAGGAAGACAACCAGAUAUGCAAAUGAUUGAUAUAUUCAGACAUGAUGAUGCAAACAUAGCACACAGUGGCUGAACCACUCAUGCCAUCUAUCUCAGAUGUGGAGGAAGCAUCUUAUCAAAAGACCAGAGAUCCUCUGGAGAUGCCAGCCACAGAUGCAGGUGAAACGUUAAGAGAAAAUGCUGCUAGAACACAGCCAUACAGCCCAGAAACCACCAACACCACAGUGAUUCUGGCUGUGAAAGCCUUCGACAAUGGAUUGAUUGAUUGAAUUUAUAUUUUAUAUCUCACCUUUUUCACAAAUUGGCAUAAACUCUUACAAGGCAUGCAAACUAUUAAUCACUAAGCAUAGUCAUACUAUGGCUACUGCCUCUAACAUGUUCCAAAUCAACCUUUUUACAAUUGAACUUUAAAGUUCUUUUCCCCCUCCAUAUAAUUUAUGUUGCAAAAUAUGAGGAAUGGGGAAGGCUACAAGAGUGGAUGUAGAAAGGGCAUUUUUAACAUCUUGCAUCUUCAUCUUCUUCUACUGUAAAUCUAAUACAAAAAGGUUUCUAUGAUUUUAAAAAGAAAAAAACCCACACAUUUAUUUUCUAAUCUUAAAAAAAGAUAGAAAAGUGGGUGUAUAGUUUUGAAACAAAGGAGAUAGAAAAGUUGGGAAAUAUAACAUAGAAGAAAACCUUUACUAACGCUUCCUACCCUACCUCUGCUGUCUCCUUCAUAUUAAAAAAAACUAUUCUUUUUUGUCAUAAAACUUGUCUCUGGUAAGUUAAUUUUCCAGAAUCCCUUGCAUAUAAUUGGGGAUCCUGUUAUUCUUGCCACUAACUUCUCUAUUUUUUCUUGUUAUUCCUAGCUCUCCCUUACUGUUAUAAAAUCACCAAUAUUUUCAUUUUCUUUUGUCUUUCUGUCAAUAAAGGGCUGCUAUUCUUCUUCAAAUUUGGAAGUAUCGGGCGAUUGUAUAAGCCUCACCAGCUUGUCCAUCUCUCUGCCCUGUCCAGCAUUUUUGUAAUCCAUAGAUCUUGGGUGGGAAUUUCUUCUUGUUUUCAAUAGUGAGCAAAAACAAUCCUUGCUGCAGUUACCAUGUGUAAAAAGAGCAUCAGGAAUGUUUUUGAUAGUGUUGAAUUUGUAAGUCCUUACAGAAAGGCUUCUGGCUUUAGUGGUACUUUAAUUCUUAAGAUGUUUUCAAUGUUCUUAUGUAUUAUAAUCCAGAUUUUUUUGCUUUGGGAUAUGUCCACCACAUAUGGUAAAAUGUUCCUUCCUUUUGAUGACAUUUCCAACAAACAUUUUUAAAUUUUUUAUUCCAUCUUUGCAAAUCUUUCCGGCAUCUUGUAUUAUCUAUACAUCAUCUUAUAGAAAAUAUCUCUUACUCCAUAGCAUCUUGUGAAUUUAAUCUUUGUUUUCCACAUCUGUUCCCAUUUGUCUAGGUCAGUGGUUCCCAACCUUUUUUUUGACCAGGGACCACUUUGACCAGGGAUCACUUGGGCAGGGACCACUUUGGGCAGGGACUACUCUCCAACAUUAAUACCCAAAGGAUUACAAAUCAGUUUUAGUCAACUUUAGAUUCAGUUUGGGGUGCUGAUUCAGAAAAUUGCAUUGGAUAAACCACAUCAGCUCUAAUUUCUGAUACAGAGCAUAUGCCAUGAUCAGCAAGAGGGAAGGAGUGGCAGGC